GAUGAACGCUGGCGGCAUGCCUAAGACAUGCAAGUCGAACGAAGUGGCCCAACAAUAACCGAGUGCUUGCACAAAGUUUGCGAUGGAAUUUCCACUUAGUGGCAGACGGGUGAGUAACACGUAAGUAACCUACCUCAGAGACUGGAAUAAUGUCUGGAAACGGACACUAAUACCGGAUAAUUCGUAUUUGGAUAACUAAAUACGCUAAAAGGAGCGUUUGCUUCACUUUGAGAUGGGCUUGCGGCGUAUUAACUAGUUGGUGGGGUAAUGGCCUACCAAGGUGACGAUGCGUAGCCGAACUGAGAGGUUGAUCGGCCACAUUGGGACUGAGACACGGCCCAA
rnacentral:rRNA from 1 species